AGGAUCUGUUUCCCUGGACUGAGCACAGAACCAGGUUCUGUUUACAUGGACUGAGCACAGAACCAGGAUCUGUUUCCCUGGACUGAGCACAGAACCAGGUUCUGUUUCCAUGGACCGAGCACAGAACCAGGAUCUGUUUCCAUGGACUGAGCACAGAACCAGGUUCUGUUUCCAUAGACUGAGCAUAGAACCAGGAUCUGUUUCCAUGGACUGAGCACAGAACCAGGAUCUCUUUCCACAGACUGAGCACAGAACCCGGCACUGAAACUCAAAUUCAAGCGCUCAGAGCAGAGGGUCUGCCCCAGAUGGUCCCACCAGCAGUUGUACACAACCACAAGGCAGGGCUGGCUCCAGCUGAGCACUGACAGCUGUUUCGUUCAUGCCAACCCCUCCACAACCUCAUGGCUCCGUCUCUUUGCCUUCACCUUCCUCCUCCAGCUCCUUCUCCCAGCACAACAGCAGCAAGAGCCCGGCUUGGCUCUGGUUCCUGAGCCCUUGGACCACAGUACUGAGUUUUGCCUGGGCUGAUGUGAGAUCUUGAGCUGCUUUUCCACAAUCCCACUCCCACCAAGGCCACCGUGUCAGGUCCUCAGUGGCUGCACUUCCCCCCUGAAGCCACCGAAGCCAACGGAGCUGGGCUGAAACUCGUCACCUGACUCACUUGGCUCUGGACCUUUGAUUGUGGACUUCAAGGAGAAGAAACUCCAGCACUCCAUGACUUUUUCCUGACCCCAGAAGAGCUGAAGUAAUAAAAUGUUCUCUGGUCAUGUCCAAAUCCCACAGGAGCUCUCAGUGGAACAGGCCACAAGCGUGUGCAAGGUACAAACCCUGCGCUUGGAGACCGCAGCCACGACCCGACGGCUGAGAAUGUUAAUUGUUCUCCAUCGCCCCCAGUGAUUUUAACAUUUCAUAAUUCCUCCCCUGGCUGACAGCUGGAUUCUUCCUUAAUUACAAACCCGUUGGAGUUGAAAAAUCAGACAUUUCCUGGAAUUUAAACAACCAAUUUUCCACCCGUCAGCAUCCAACAACACAAUCCUACAGCUUCUUUCUGAGCACGCUGGAAAAAAGUCGUCAGAGCACGCUGGAUAAACGGGGGUGGGAAAGGGAUUUUGAUGACUUCAUGCAUUCAAAUGCAGCAUUCCUGGAUCUUUGGAUUCCAUUGAAAGGUGGAAAUAGCACUGACAGAACCACAAGCCCACGUUUUUAAAAGGCAGCAUGCGGUUAAAUACUGCAGAUGGAUCUUUUAAACACAGCGUUGGCAUCCGACUACGCAAUUAUUCCUCUCUGCCUUAGGAAACACAUCUUCAUUCAGAACUAUUGCAGAAUAAAUGUUGAUUUUUUUUUUCCUUCACCGUUUGCCACAGGAUUUGCUCAUUUUCUCUCUGCAGCAAAUUGUUGUGACAGUAAGGAAAAGCUUCAAGCUCCCAGUUCUCAGCCUAUUGAAAAGACAAAAGGAAAAAACUCUUGGACAGCUGCUGGCCUCCAGGAAGCUCCAGGAAUGGAGACCCACCAUGCUGCAUCCUAAUUGCAUCCUUGGGGAGCAGCAAAGAGCCCCAAACUCAUCCAGCAGAGGCAGAAACAGCAACACCACUUGACAGGACAUCUCAGCUGCUUCUUUCUCUUCCAGAACCCACAGUUUCAGCCAUAUGGGGUUUUUAUUUUAUCUUUUUUUUUUUUCUUUUUUUUUUUAUCAGUCUCUAUCUCUUGUGGUCAUGGGAAAGGAAUAACCCUUCAUCUGUAACUGAUUAACGAGGCUGGUGCUCGAGUUUGCAAGGAGCCUGAAAUGAGAGCUGGUGGAGAUCUGAGGAUCCUUGCUUGCUCCUGUGAACUGUGUGCUGUGACCUCCUGGAGGGACGUCACUGGAUGGAGUCUUUGCCUUAACUCAGAGAGGACAACUGAGAAUGGAAAAAAAAAAAAAAGCAACAUCACAUACCCAAAAUGACCUUCGAAGCUGGGACUACACAAAAAAGCUGCCUCAGUUUGGAAACCUUGAGGCAAGGGCUUGGAAGUCAUUGAGUCUGGGGCAGCUGUGCGACGAGGACUUUCCAGAGGAAGCAAUUUUAUUUGGGAAAGCAAUCCUGGGACUUGGAGUCCUGUUUGAGCCAUGGAACUCGAAGAACUUGUGUAUUUUGCAUUGUUUUGGGUUUGUUCUCCCCUUGGGAGCAGCUGGGUUUUCCCCACAUUGUCCCAUUCUCAUGGGUUGGUCUAUUUUGGCGUCAGCUCUGUUUUCCUGGCUUUUCCUGGAUUUUCUUGGAGGAGGAGGGUCCAUGGACAGCUCCUUCCUCUCCUGUGGGACACAAACUGCCCCCACCUCUGAGCGUGGUGCUGCACCUUGGCCAGGGCACCCAGGGGAUGGAAUUGAGGAGCCAGCAGGGAUUUGCACUUGGGGGGAGACUGAGCCCAGCCCAGUUUAACACCUCUCUGCUCGGAGCAUCUGUACAGCCCAGCCUGAGGGGAUGAUGCAAUUGGGACCGCUGAGAUUUCCCCAUCCUCGGCUCAUUUAAAGCAGGUGAGAAGCUGUGGAAAAUGCUCUGGAAACAGUGGGAGAUGAUUUGUCCCUGGACAGCUGAAGGAGGGGUUGCCAAAGGCAUUUAAAAAGCUCUUUUCACUUUCAGCAGGGAAAAGGGAAACCAAGGAAGAACACCUGUUUCAAGCAAUAGGAGCAAACCUGGAGAACACCUGCAGAGGGUUUGGAAAAUGGCCUUGUCAGGCAACUUAAAUGGAAAUGUUGUUCCUAAAGUUUGUCGUCAGAUUUGUGCAUUCCUAACCCAGAAACCCACAGCAAAAAAACCAAAAAAAGUGGGACAAAAACCCUGAGGGUGACCAGAAAGAGCAAAUGCCACGUAGGUGACUACAGCUGGGGGGAAAUAUUUUUGGGAGAGGCUGUUUGAGCCGUUCUCACUCUUUCUGUCAGCAUUUCGCUGGAUGCAGCUCACCAGAGAAUUCAUUUCAUCCUGUUAAACUCCAUUUAGUGGGAGUAGCACGGCCUGUGGAGGAAAAUCGAGGAUGCCAAGGGAAAUGGGAGCCACAAAGAAAUGCAGAGCAAAGGAGCCAGUCGAGUUUAUUUAACUUUCUAUUAUCUACAAUGCUAUAAAGCCUGGAAAUGAAACAGAAACAGAAUCCUACAAAACAUUUUGGAGCUUUUCCAGAAAAAAUUCUAAGGACACUUGUUCCUGCUGAUGUCUGCACCACUGAAUUAAUUUGCAUUAAGCCAAGGGAAGGAAAAUCCCUGCCAGUCACAGUCACUCCAGGAUGGCAAAAAUCUCCAUUUCUUGUGCCUUCAAAUUACAAUCUUACACAGAAGCAAUGGAUGCAAGAAUUUAAUCACCAUGAAAAAUGCUGAAAGUUUGGGAAAUAUUGGCCUGAGUCCAGUCCUUCCUCCUCUUCUCCUCCUCCUGAGUCUGUCAGGAAUAUUUGGCUUCAUGUCUGCCACAGGGAUCAGGCAGGAGGUGUUUGGGUUCAACCAAGAAUCUCCACCUGGUCAAGAUGGAAAAGACAAAGUUCCUUGCCCCUAUUUAUAGCAUGGGCAGGUUUAAUCAGCCCUUUUAAUUAACCCAACCUUCCCACACCAUCCCAGCUGCUCGUUAAUUGUCCAAAUUCUUCCUUCUGUGCCAGCAGCAGAAGGAUCAGAACCAUCCUCCCACCAUUCCCAGGAUAAAAUUACAUUUUCCCAGCUCAUGUUGCACCUGCCUUCAUCCAUAGGGUGUUUAUAAUGGGACACAACAGAAAAUGCUGCUGUUCAAACCAGCAGACAUUUUAAUUCGUAUUUAUUAAAGAAAACAGGUUAGCAAGGUGAUGGUUUUCCUGGUAGCAAUUAUAUUCCCAGAAAUAACAUCUUCUGUAGUAGAUUAAGGGAAAAUAAUCAAAGAAAUAAUAAAAGAAAAUGACAACAA